rnacentral:rRNA from 1 species
CGAGUGAUCUUGCGCGGAAAAUUUAACGGGGCUAAGCAUGUAACCGAAGCUUAGGGUUUACAGCAAUGUAAGCGGUAGGGGAGCGUCGAAUACGGGGUGAAGUCAUACCGAAAGGAAUGGUGGACUGUAUUCGAGUGAGAAUGCCGGAAUGAGUAGCGAGAAUUAUGUGGGAAUCAUAAUGGCCGAAAAUCUAAGGUUUCUUGGGGAAGGUUCGUCCGCCCAAGGUAAGCCGGGAGCUAAGGCGAGGCCGCAAGGCGUAGUCGAUGCACAUACGGUAGAAAUUCCGUAGCCGGCUCAAUCGUUAAGCAUACUGACACAUGAGAGUAGCUCUACCGGGCGUUGGUUGCCCCGGGCGUAAGCGAGCCGAAUGAGGCGAAGUGAGUAAAUCUUGUGGCGAGAAAAGGUGUGUGUAUUGGUUGGGCUGCCCGUACCGCAAACCGACACAGGUAGAUGAGGAGAAGAUCCUAAGGCCAUCGGGAGAAGGGUUGUUAAGGAACUAGGCAAAUUGACCCCGUAACUUCGGGAGAAGGGGUGCCUACGAGAGUAGGCCGCAGAGAAUCGGCCCAAGCAACUGUUUACCAAAAACACAGGUCUCUGCUAAAUCGAAAGAUGACGUAUAGGGGCUGACGCCUGCCCGGUGCUGGAAGGUUAAGAGGAGGACUUAGCGGAAACGCGAAGGCCCGAAUUGAAGCCCCAGUAAACGGCGGCCGUAACUAUAACGGUCCUAAGGUAGCGAAAUUCCUUGUCAGGUAAGUUCUGACCCGCACGAAAGGCGUAAUGAUUUGGGCACUGUCUCAACAGCCCGCCCGGCGAAAUUGUAGUACCGGUGAAGAUGCCGGUUACCCGCAACUAGACGGAAAGACCCCAUGGAGCUUUACUGCAGCUUAAUACUGAGAUUCGGUAAAUCAUGUACAGGAUAGGUGGGAGACUGAGAAGCCAGGCCGUCAGGUUUGGUGGAGUCGCCCUUGGGAUACCACCCUUGGUUUGCUGGGUUUCUAACCUGCGGCCCUGAAUCGGGUCGGGGGACACUGUUAGGCGGGCAGUUUGACUGGGGCGGUCGCCUCCUAAAAUGUAACGGAGGCGCUCAAAGGUUGGCUCAGCAUGGAUGGAAACCAUGCAAUGAGUGUAAACGUAUAAGCCAGCCUGACUGCGAGACCGACGGGUCGAGCAGAGACGAAAGUCGGAGUUAGUGAUCCGGUGGUAUGUGAGUGGAAAUGCCAUCGCUCAACGGAUAAAAGCUACCCUGGGGAUAACAGGCUGAUCUCCCCCAAGCGUCCACAGCGACGGGGAGGUUUGGCACCUCGAUGUCGGCUCGUCGCAUCCUGGGGCUGAAUUAGGUCCCAAGGGUUUGGCUGUUCGCCAAUUAAAGCGGCACGCGAGCUGGGUUCAGAACGUCGUGAGACAGUUCGGUCCCUAUCUGUUGCGGGCGUAGGAGAUUUGAAGGGAGCUGACCUUAGUACGAGAGGACCGGGUUGGACGUACCUCUGGUGUACCAGUUGUUCUGCCAAGGGCAUGGCUGGGUAGCUACGUACGGACGAGAUAAACGCUGAAGGCAUCUAAGCGUGAAACUCUCCCUGAGAUAAGAUCUCCACUGAGGCUCGACGUAGACUAUGUCGUUGA